CCUACGGGAGGCAGCAGUAGGGAAUCUUCCACAAUGGACGAAAGUCUGAUGGAGCAACGCCGCGUGAGUGAAGAAGGGUUUCGGCUCGUAAAGCUCUGUUGGUAGUGAAGAAAGAUAGAGGUAGUAACUGGCCUUUAUUUGACGGUAAUUACUUAGAAAGUCACGGCUAACUACGUGCCAGCAGCCGCGGUAAUACGUAGGUGGCAAGCGUUGUCCGGAUUUUUUGGGCGUAAAGGGAGUGCAGGGGGUUCAUUAAGUCUGAGGUGAAAGCGUUCGGCUCAACCAGAGAAUUGCAUCAGAAACUGGUGGACUUGAGUGCAGAUGAGGCAGGUGGAACUCCAUGUGUAGCGGUGGAAUGCAUAGAUAUAUGGCAGAACACCAGUGGCGAAGGCAGCUCUCUGGUCUGCAACUGACGCUGAGGCUCGAAAGCAUGGGUAUCGAACAGGAUUAGAUACCCCUGUAGUC
rnacentral:rRNA from 1 species